UACGGGGGGAGCAAGCGUUGUUCGGAUUUACUGGGCGUAAAGGGCGCGUAGGCGGUAGCACAAGUCAGUUGUGAAAUCUCCGGGCUUAACUCGGAAAGGUCAACUGAUACUGUGCGACUAGAGUGCAGAAGGGGCAACUGGAAUUCUCGGUGUAGCGGUGAAAUGCGUAGAUAUCGAGAGGAACACCUGUGGCGAAGGCGACUACCUGGCCUGUUUCUUGACGCUGAGGCGCGAAAGCUAGGGGAGCAAACGGG
rnacentral:rRNA from 1 species